GCCUGAGGCCUGAUACCGUCCUCUUUGCUCUGCCCUGCACAAUCCAUCUUUAGCCACAGCUCAUCCUUAAAGAAGCAAAUGGAAAACAGAUUGGACUUGAAGGGGUGGCAGGUAUGCUCAUGCAGGUGACCAUAUUUACAACCAGAUAAAAUAAACAACUGAUUGUCAACUCAUUAGGAGGAUUAAAAAUCUGCAGAGAAUUACCUGUAAAGUCCCUGGAUAAAAUCUUGGCGCCCGAUAACCACAGAAAGGAACAAUCAAGACACAAUUGUGUAAUGUGAUGGAUCUUGAAAAGAAUCAAGUUGCACACAGGUAGAAAGCAGAAAACCUAGUGUAUACAUCCGAGUUACGGUGGUGUCUGAAACACUAGGUACAGUCGUUUCCUGGAAGUUAUUUGCCCUAAAAGAUGUGGAUAAGUGGAAAGAAAUUCAGAGAAGACAGCGAAGUAGAUUAAAACAUUAAAUAUGAAUAAGUUGUUAACGGAAAGACUGAAAGGUCAGUGAAAAUCCUUGGAGGAUGCAAUUGGACUCAAAACAAUAAGAGAGAUGAAAAUAGUUCUGUGAUAGAAGCAAAUCUGCCAAAACCAGUUCAGUGUUUUCAGUAAAGUAUUCCCGCACGCUCACCCACCUUCUUCUCAUCCUAGCCAGAGUGGUUUUUCAGAAAUUAAUAUCAAAUUAAAGCAGAACUACUCUUCCUACCAUUGUUGACCCUACUCCACACUCUACCCAGAUGAUGAAGAUCAGGGAUGUUGCCGGCUUUUAUUUUGUAUCACCCAUGUAUAGAAGUAUACCUGUGCACAGUAGAAUCCCAAAUAUAUUUUAAAUGAAAUUGUUGAAUGGAGACCAAAAUUUAAGAAGGCAGAAUUGGACAUGGCCAUCGCCUCGAGCUAAUGGAAGUCUUCAUGUUAUAACUCAUGAUUGUGAUGGAAACAGAUGUUCUUUUAACUCAAUAACACUAUGUUGGAGGACGUGCAUCAUUCUGAAGACGUGACCGUCAGUUGACCUAUGAGCUGGACCCAGGCAAUCAGAGGCUGCUUACUCCCUCCCCUGUCCUUGAAAUGUAUGUUCUGCCCACCAUUCCCAUAGUGGGAGCCAUUUACAAGGACAUAGGCUUGAGAAAGCAAUGUGUUGUUGAAACCACCUGGACAGGAUCCUUGACUCAACCCAGUUAAGGCCUCUACAUAAACUUUUAAGAUUCUGGUGGGCAGGUACAGAGACCUACUCAUCUUGCAACCGCCAAACCCAAGCCUCACAUGUAAGUUCCCUUGGUUAUUAAACCUGCCACCUGCCAAUCCGGAGUGUCUUGCCUCUUUCUUGGUUUCUCCUUACCCUCCG
rnacentral:lncRNA from 1 species